AUCACUCUCAUCGUUUUCCUCACCUGGUAUUGUUUCCUCUUCCACCAUGGCUGGCUGUUCAGGACCACCACUAAUGUUGACUUUCAUCCAGCACCUUCAUCGUCCAUUUGAAAAAAUUGUUGAAACCACCUGUGUUCAGUAUUCACGGACUCUCUGCAUUGUUUAAUGGUCAUUAUUAAGGGUCUUGAUCUUAUGUGUAUUCUGAUUAAAGGUUUAAUCUCUCAAAGGGAAAACUCUAUAGCUUGUAUUGGGCAAAUGUUAUAUUGUAAAAUGCUGUGCUAGAAGCUGUUCGAUGAAAUGUCCCUACGAAAUUAUAUGUCGUUAGCUAUACAAUUUUCUUUUCUUUUUUUUUUUUUUUUUGAGCGAAACCAAGACUAGCAAGCAAUUUGAUUUGAUAAUCUUUUUGUGAUUAAAAUUAUCCUAUUUCUUGCUGAACUUUGGUCAAUAUAGUGUAUCACUUUGCAGGGAAAAAUAUCAAUAAUAAUAAUUUGAUUGGUUGGCUUU